rnacentral:rRNA from 1 species
AGCGUUCAUCGGAAUUACUGGGCGUAAAGCGUGCGUAGACGGUUAUGUAAGUCAGGUGUGAAAGCCCCGGGCUCAACCUGGGAAUUGCAUUUGAGACUGCAUAGCUAGGGUGCGGAAGAGGGAAGCGGAAUUUCCGGUGUAGCGGUGAAAUGCGUAGAUAUCGGAAGGAACACCAGUGGCGAAAGCGGCUUCCUGGUCCAGCACCGACGUUCAGGCACGAAAGCGUGGGGAGCAAACAGG